rnacentral:rRNA from 1 species
UACGGAGGGUGCAAGCGUUAUCCGGAUUCACUGGGUUUAAAGGGUGCGUAGGUGGGCAAGGAAGUCAGUGGUGAAAUCUCCGGGCUUAACCCGGAAACUGCCAUUGAUACUAUUUGUCUUGAAUACUGUGGAGGUCAGCGGAAUAUGUCAUGUAGCGGUGAAAUGCUUAGAUAUGACAUAGAACACCAAUUGCGAAGGCAGCUGGCUACACAAAUAUUGACACUGAGGCACGAAAGCGUGGGGAUCAAACAGG